rnacentral:misc_RNA from 1 species
ACAAAUCUUUGAGCUUAAUUGCUCAGUAACCUUUGUGAAUUGGCUCGUUUAGGCGAGUUAGAUGGGACAUGAGAGCAGUGGAAUAGUGAUUUGACUGUUGUAAGGUCUAUACUAUCUGCUAACAUUAUAAAAUUGUCUGAUUAGAUUGGGAAACCGCAUGGUUUUCGAUAAUAAUA